rnacentral:rRNA from 1 species
AACCUGGUUGAUCCUGCCAGUAGUCAUAUGCUUGUCUCAAAGACUAAGCCAUGCACGUCUAAGUACAAACUAAAUGAUGGUGAAACUGCAAAUGGCUCAUUACAACGGUUAUGAUGUACCCGGGAGUUCCGAUGGAUAUUUCCAGUAACACUAGAACUAAUACAUGCUCCUGCGUUUAUUAGUUUCGCACAGUCCGUCGCUGAGUCAUGGUAAACAGUUGAUCGGCUCGACGUCCCGGAACAGUUUCCGCCCCAUCAGCUUCGAUGGUUGGGUAUUGGCCUACCAUUGCAACAACGGGUAACGAGGAAUUAGGGUUUGAUUUCGGAGAGGGAGCCUGAGAAACGGCUACCACAUCUACGGAUGGCAGCAGGCGCGCAAAUUACCCAAUGCAGACACUGUGAGGUAGUGACGAGAAAUAAUAAAGCGGGACUUCUGUUUCACUAUUAUAAUGAGGAAUAA